UACAAAUUCGUAGGGUGUGGGUACAAGCU
rnacentral:piRNA from 1 species